UACGUAGGGGGCAAGCGUUGUCCGGAAUUAUUGGGCGUAAAGAGCGUGUAGGCGGUCCGGUAAGUCAGCUGUGAAAGUCAAGGGCUCAACCCUUGAAUGCCGGUUGAUACUGUCGGGCUAGAGUCCGGAAGAGGCGAGUGGAAUUCCUGGUGUAGCGGUGGAAUGCGCAGAUAUCAGGAGGAACACCGGUGGCGAAGGCGGGAUCCUGGGCCAGUACUGACGCUGAGGAGCGAAAGCGUGGGGAGCGAACAGG
rnacentral:rRNA from 1 species